rnacentral:rRNA from 1 species
CGCCGAAAAUGAACGGGGCUAAGUAAUCUGCCGAAACUGUGGGAUAUAUAAAUAUAUCGGUAGGGGAGCGUUCUAUGGUAGGUUGAAGCGUUAACGUAAGUGGGCGUGGACGAUAUAGAAGUGAGAAUGUCGGCUUGAGUAGCGAAAACAUUGGUGAGAAUCCAAUGCCCCGAAAACCUAAGGUUUCCUCCGGAAGGCUCGUCCGCGGAGGGUAAGUCAGGACCUAAGGCGAGGCUGAAAAGCGUAGUCGAUGGACAAUCGGUUAAUAUUCCUAUACCAUUUUUUGUUGGCAACGAGGGACGAAGGUAGCUAAGCUAGCCAAAUGUUGGUUAUUGGUUCAAGCGUUCAAGGUGUUGAGAGAUAGAGAAAA